AUUGAACGCUGGCGGCAGGCCUAACACAUGCAUCGACGCACAAGUGGCGCACGGGUGAGUAACACGCGUGAACGUUCCCCUAGGUUCGGGAUAUCCCAGGGAAACACGUGCUAAAACCGCACGACCUUAGGGCGGCCCGCGUUUGAUUAUCCAGUUGGUGAGUUAAAGGCUCACCAAGGCGACGAUCAGUAGCUGGUCCGAGAGGAUGAUCAGCGACAUUGGGACUGAGACACGGCCCGAACUACUGCAGGAGGCGGCAGUGGGGAAUAUUGCGCAGUGGGCGAAGGGAUGACGCAGCCAUGCCGGGUGAAUGAUGGAGGUCUUAGGAUAGUAAAAUUCUUUCACCGGGGACACGGUACCCGGAGAAGAAGCCCCGGCUAACUUCGUGCCAGCCGCCGCGGUAAUAC
rnacentral:rRNA from 1 species